GGAAUAAGGCUCACUUGAUGAUAGAAAGCUCUGGUUUACCUAAGUCUUUUUUCCCUCAAGGAACUCAUGUGGUUAUUCUGUUGUUAUUCAUCGGGAGUGCUUCAAGCUUGAACGUGGUAGAAAGGGGAAGACUAAGAGUUAUAUCGGAUUUUAUAAUACAGAAAAUAUCAAUUGGAGUUUUUUUUUUGUCGGCCAAAUGGAGUUAUUUGUUCUGCGAUUGUGCAUCUGUGUAACAGUUUUGCAACUUGCCAAUUUGUUAUUAACAUGUUAAAUUGGAAAUAAUAUAAGGAAAAUAAUUGAGGGAAAAUUUAUUUGAAAUUAUUAGUGGCUGAUAGGGGUGUCAAUUCGGGCCCGGCUCAGUCCGGCCCAACUCCACUAAACCCGUAAAUAUUUAAG
rnacentral:lncRNA from 1 species